AAUAACUUUAAAUUUCAUGAGACGAGUAAUAUAACGGGACUGGUUUGGAUUGAUAUAACAGGGGUUAAAUUUAUAUUUUAUUAUUUUAUCAUCACCAAUUGGUUUAGUUACAACAUUAAUAUAAAUUAUAUAACAAAUACUAAAUUAAAAACCGUAAAAGUUAAUAUUAUUACUAUAUAUAUAUAUGAAUAUAUUUGUCAUGUGGUGUACCACGGAUUAAAUCCUAGUUGAUGUUUAAAAUAACGCAAUAAUUAUAUUACACUAUGGGACACUUUUACAAAAAGAUUUGUCGUUUUAGGCACUUCCAAAAGAGAAGGCACUUUGGCUUGUUAAAUUGUCCAAUUUGCCCUCAACCUUAUUUUCUCUUUUUCUUUAGCAAUAUUUCUUUUGUUCUUCACCAUCUCUUUUACGAAAACUUCUCUUCUUCCUCUCUCUCUUUUUCCAAAAUCAAAAUCAAAUAUUAUAGGAUAACCUCAAUAUUCAAAAUUCAAAUUUAAAUCUUAUAGGAUUUAUCAUCAUCUUCCCUAUCUCUCAACAAUCUAACAGUGACAAUAAACUACACUAUCUUCGAUUACCAAACCCCACUACGCUUCCUCCGUAACUUCCAGUGUCACCUCCUCCUUAGCCACCUCACGGCCACCACCAGCGUAUCCUUUUCCACCACAACCUCCACCAGAUCUGUACCUUCUACUAUGUAUCUCGUAACCACUGUCGCCUCCUCCAUUUCCGCCACCACCUCCUCCGUAUUCAUUACCGCCUCCCUUGCGAUAUCCGCCACCACCUCCGUCACAGGCUCCUCUACCGCCUUGAGCAAAUGGGUGGCUCUGGUAAUUUGAUUUUUCUUUUUUUUAAUUUCAAUCUCAAGUCAAAGAAGAAUUAUCUUAAUUGGAGAGUACUAACCCUUGGUUUCUUUGAGAUUGUGAUUUAUUUUGCAAUUUAAAUCUAAGUUUUGACAUAAAUUUGAGAUCCAGUUCUCUAAGAAACUUCUUCUUCUUCAACAAUGGCGGUUUGAUUUGAUUUUUGCUCUCUUUCAUGGGUAAAACUCGUUUCACCUACGUAGCAUCGAAAUUUCGGUUAAUCAAACCUCAUGUUAUUAUGGACAUAGAUCAGUAAAAAAGUUUCCGAAUGGAUAUAUUUAAAUGGACACUUUCUUAUGGACACCAAAAAAUUGUUUGUUAAUUUUUCUUUCAGUUUGCAGAUACCUCCACCUUCAAGACCUUACAGACAUAGAACUUUGGUUUCUUUACAAACCACAAUAAUCAAAUCUCCUAUUAUUGUGGACAUGGUAUAUAGAAUGGAUAUGGAUCAGUAGAAAGGUUUCCGAAUGGAUAUAUUUAAAUGGACUCGUUAUUAUGGAAACCAAAAAAUUGUUUGUUAAUUUUUCUUUCAGUUUGUAGAGACCUCCACCUCCAAGACCUUGUGGACAUGGAACUUUGGUUUCUUUACAAACCAAGGUUAAUCGAAUCUCUUGUUAUUAUGGACAUAGUAUAUAGAAUGGAUAUGGAUCAGUAGAAAGGUUUCCGAAUGGAUAUAUUUAAAUGGACACGUUAUUAUGGAUACCAAAACAUUAUUUGUUGUUUUUCUUACAGGUUGCAGAGACCUCCACCUCCAAGACCUUAUGGAUAUAGAACUUUUACCAAAGUUUUGAGAUAAUCGAGAUCGAAUUUUUUAAGAAUCUUCUCUCAUUUGUUUGCAGAAUUGGUAUCACCGAUUUCUCGUGAGCCGCCGCCAUAAUCGAUAAGAGGAAUCGUGGAAGGGGAGAGAGAGAGAAAGAGAGAGAGAGAAAGAGAGAGAGAUUUUCUUUAUUUCUAAUUACGUUUAGUUGAAUUGAGGGUAAAAAAGUCCAAAAAAAUAAGAAUUAGUGUAAAAAGUGUUUAUUCCCUGAAAAGUGCCUCAAACAGAAUAAUAUUCUCUAAAAGUGCCUAAACGUGUCACAUUCCCUAAUUUAUUUAACAUUAAUUUGUGAAAACGUCAAAUGAAAAUGUUUGUGUUUUAGUCAAAUGUCGAGAAAAUCAUGUAGUGUCAUGUGUAAUUAAACUUAAGUGAAUCGUAUACCAACCUAUUAAAUUUAGUUAAGGAAUAUCACCUUAUGUUAAUUCUUAGCUCAAUUUUGGUAUUUUUUGCUAAUUCAAAGUGUGACUCGAUUUGCACUUAUAGUUUGAAUAUUCAACAUGAAAGAAAAUAUAUUAAAAUAGUUCUCUAACAUUAUAUAACUUAUCACGUAUAUUUUUUGUAUGACGUGACCACGAUAAAAUGUCUAUAGUACUAUGCCAUUGACAACUAUACCAUUAGUUUUGGGAUAAAGUCGCUUAUGGAAAGAGAAAAAUCGAGGAGGCUUAAUUUGGCACACUUCACAUGAAUAAUAGACAAGAUAAUUCGUAAUCGGAUUGUCUAUUCAAACUAUAACGUUCUGCAUUAGUUGGAAGAUUCCCCAGCAAUGGUUUAAGAUGAGAACGAUAGGAGAACUCCUCCGAUUCAGAUAAUUAUAAGAUAAGCUUUGAAUGUUACCAAAAAUUGUUACCUAUACUUCUUCAUUAUUUCCACUUUUAUACAU
rnacentral:sRNA from 1 species